GCUACUUCAUUUUUGGCCUACCUUUUGGGCAAUGCCAUCUCCACAGAUCUGAGCCCAAUUUUUUGAAUAUACAUUCCAUCCUUAUUUUGGGACUAUUGUUCGCUGUGACUUUUUGGCAGUGUCGCUUCCAUAGGUCUGAAGGAAAUUUUUUAAUACAUGUAAGAUAUACAUCAUUUUUUUGUUCUUUGAACUGUUGUUCAUGCCAUAGGUUACUUUUAAGUUCGCUUUGCCCACCCACAGUUUUGGUUUAUGGUGGACCUUGGAGUUGAGAAGCUACAAUUUUAUUGACGCUCAAGAUUUCAUAAAUGGCAUCUGCAGAACAUCUGAAAGAAUUUUGAAGUGUGUAUUUUGUUUCAAUUUCAUUCGCUCUUUCUUUAUCUUCAGUUCUUCAGUCUAGCUUAGAGGUAGAAGAUUGUUGUCUAAGUCUAUCAAUAUUGCUCAAUAUCCCAACUUAAUUCAACCAUUGUUUGUAUCACUUUCCUGAACGCCAUGAAGUAAUUUAUUUUCCGGAGCUGCUU
rnacentral:lncRNA from 1 species